AUGGCAAAGCUUAUCGGGGGCUCUUCUUUCGUCUGUCCAUUUUCGUCACAAGCAGACUCACCGUACAGGGCGAAGCUACGCGGAAGGCGCCGGCCAACACCAAAGGCUCCUCCGAGGACGCGUCUGAGCGUCUCGUCUCCUGUCCUGCACUCCCCACCUGCUUCACCAGUUAGCCAGUUGCCGAAGCGAGCGCCAGAGCACGAGGCCGGCAAUGGCGCGCUCGACGCCCCCCUUCCUCCUCCUCCUCCUCUUCGUCCUCGUCGCCGCCGCCGCGGCAGCCUCGGACUCGGAGGAGCGCCCGCGCGUCACCCCCACCUUGGUCCAGUGCCACCCGCCGCACGCGCAGGCAACCGCCAACGCCAGCAGCGCCAAGAACGCCACGGCAUUCCGCGCCAACGUGGUCUCCCUCCUCCGCGCCCUCCCCUCCGCCGCCGCGCCCACGGGCUUCGCGUCCCUGCGGUCCGCCGGAGUGGUCGGACGCGACGCCGCGUUCGUCCGCGGGCUCUGCUUCGGGUACGCCACGCCGUCCCAGUGCCGCUCGUGCCUGGCCGCCGCGGCCAGGAAGCUCACCGACGCCUGCGGUGCCCGCGGCCGGCGCGCCGGCGUCUGGACGGACGCCUGCUUCGCCUCCUACGCCGACGCGAACGCAUCCUCGCCCAGGUACGACGGCUUCCGCGCGCGCAUCAUCUCCGGCGCCGACGCGCUCAUCACCAGCACCUCCUACGAGCUGCUGAGCCUCGCCGACCUGGCGUGGCGCAUGGGGCAGGUCGCGGCCAUCAACUCGGGGAUGCAGGUGGCCGUGGACUGGAUCGCCUCGGCGAGCGACUACAAGAAGAACAGCACGGUGCGCGUGCUGGCGGAGUGCGCGCGGGACCGCACGCCGGCGGAGUGCGCGUGGUGCGUCCAGUACUCGGCGCGGGUGGCGGAGACCUGCGAGUGGUCCUGGUGCCCCGGGCAGUCGGCGCGGGCGGGGGACACCUGCUGCUGGGGCCUCGACGCGUGGCGCGACGGCGUGGCGGGCGCCGUCGUCGGCUUCGACUGCUACCUGCGCUUCGACGUCGCCGUCGCCGUCGCCACCGUCACUUCCACUGCGCCGGCGCGGGUGCCCCCGCUCAAAAGGCUCGGGAAGCUGAUGAACGAUCAUCCUUUCGUCACCGCGGUGUUCGUCGGCGGCGGGCUGGCCGUGGCAGCAUUCUAACGGAAAUACAAAGUUGCAGGGCCGGCGGCCGUCGGCGGCGGGCUCGGCGAUCGAUCUGCACUGCAGCAACAACAUACUCCAGUAACCAAGUCUGUAAAUAA
rnacentral:rRNA from 1 species